rnacentral:rRNA from 1 species
CAAUAGCGUAUAUUAAAGUUGUUGCGGUUAAAAAGCUCGUAGUUGGAUUUCUGUUGAGGACGGCCGGUCCGCACUAUGUGCGUGUAUCUGGUUCGGCCUCGGCAUCCUCUCGAAAGCCGUAUCUGCGCUUGACUGCGUGGUUCGGACUUCGGGACUUUUACUUUGAGGAAAUUAGAGUGUUCACGGCAGGCAAGCGCCUUGAAUAUAUUAGCAUGGAAUAAUAAUCUAGGAUCUUGGUCCUAUUUUGUUGGUUUCUAGGGCUAAGAUAAUGAUUAAUAGGGACAAUUGGGGGCAUUCGUAUUAACGCGUCAGAGGUGGAAUUCUUGGAUUGCGUUACGACGAACUACUGCGAAAGCAUUUGCCAAGGAUGUUUUCAUUGA